GAUGAACGCUGGCGGCGUGCCUAACACAUGCAAGUCGAACGGAGUCCAGCCUUUAAGACCUUCGGGUCAAAGAGGGGAAGACUGAGUGGCGGACGGGUGAGUAACACGUGGGCAACCUGGCUCAUAGAGGGGGAUAACAGAGAGAAAUUUCUGCUAAUACCGCAUAAGCACACACUGCCGCAUGGCAGAGUGUGAAAAGAGAAUCGCUAUGAGAUGGACCCGCGUCUGAUUAGCCAGUUGGCAGGGUAAGAGCCUACCAAAGCGACGAUCAGUAGCCGAUCUGAGAGGAUGAACGGCCACAUUGGGACUGAGACACGGCCCAAACUCCUACGGGAGGCAGCAGUGGGGGAUAUUGCACAAUGGGGGGAACCCUGAUGCAGCGACGCCGCGUGAGUGAAGAAGUAUUUCGGUAUGUAAAGCUCUAUCAGCAGGGAAGAUAAUGACAGUACCUGAU
rnacentral:rRNA from 1 species